rnacentral:rRNA from 1 species
CAGCAGCCACGGUAAUACGGAGGGUGCAAGCGUUAAUCGGAAUUACUGGGCGUAAAGCGCACGCAGGCGGUCUGUCAAGUCAGAUGUGAAAUCCCCGGGCUUAACCUGGGAACUGCAUUUGAAACUGGCAGGCUAGAGUCUUGUAGAGGGGGGUAGAAUUCCAGGUGUAGCGGUGAAAUGCGUAGAGAUCUGGAGGAAUACCGGUGGCGAAGGCGGCCCCCUGGACAAAGACUGACGCUCAGGUGCGAAAGCGUGGGGAGCAAACAGGAUUAGAUACCCGGGUAGUCCCUGUCUCUUAUAC